AAUGAACGCUGGCGGCGUGGUUAAGACAUGCAAGUCGAACGGUUUUUUAGGUGUAGCAAUACACUUGAAAAGCAGUGGCGAACGGGUGCGUAACACAUGAACAAUCUACCUUUUAGUGUGGAAUAGCUCGGCGAAAGCCGGAUUAAUACCGCAUGUGGUUGCUGCUCGCAUGAGUGGCAUACUAAAGUCAGGGACCGCAAGGCCUGACGCUAUUAGAGGAGUUCGCGGCCUAUCAGCUAGUUGGCGAGGUAACGGCUCACCAAGGCUAAGACGAGUAGCUGAUCUGAGAGGAUGAUCAGCCAAACUGGAACUGAGACACGGUCCAGAAACCUACGGGUGGCAGCAGUUUCGAAUCAUUCACAAUGGGCGAAAGCCUGAUGGUGCGACGCCGCGUGAGGGAUGAAGGUCUUCGGAUUGUAAACCUCUGUCACCGGGGAAGAAACGCUUCAAGUGAACAGCUUGAAGCCUGACUUAACCCGGAGAGGAAGCAGUGGCUAACUCUGUGCCAGCCGCCGCGGUAAAAC
rnacentral:rRNA from 1 species